rnacentral:lncRNA from 1 species
CUAAGGGCAUGUUUACGUAUCGGUAAUGGGUAUGGGAGGGAAGUGAAUGAUUUCCAUUCAUAACUUACCCUGUGUUUACUUGCAAUCAGGAAUGAAAAAAUAAGUGGGCCCCACCUUAAAAUCCGUAAUCACAUCCCCUCAUAACUAGGUAUCAGAUCAACUAGGGAGAGUAGUCGAUACGAUUCUCAUUCCUGUUUUCUCUUAGUAACUUCCAAAAAUACCAUUACCACUUUACCAUAAUUCCAAAAUACCCCAAACCCUAAAAAAAAUAAAAAUUCUCGCCAAGAAGUUUCAAGACGCUUCAACCCUAAAAAAAAUAAUAACCCAUUUCUAAGAAGUUCUAUGUAUUUAAUGUAUGAAAAUUAUACAGGUUAUUAUUAUUUGAUUGUUUACUAAUUACGUAUGUGAAAGAUAUAUAUUUAUUGGAGUUUAUUUUUUCGUUUGAAAUUGGCUUUGGACAAAGGUGUUAUUAACAUUAUCAUUGAACUUGGCUCUUGUUGUUCAUCUUGUUCAGCAUAUUGAUUCCUCAUGUUUGCACCGCCUUACUGUUUUGCUGCAGGAUUAGUUUGGUCUCCUUAGUCAAUUUGAGAAUUAUAUGUGUGCUGUGGUGAAAAUAUGCAGGGGUAAUUUAGUAAUCAAAUUAAUUUGAAUUCUGAUUCAUGAAAAUUAGUAAACAAUAACAAUAGGAAUCAACCCCAUUCAUUUGCUAAUUCCAUAUGUUUAAUAAACAACUUAAUGGGAAUGAUUCUUCCCAUACCGAUUCCUAAAUUUUCUGAUUCCUUACUUUCUCCAUUACUGAUACAUAAACAUGCCCUAAGAUGAAAGGGAUUACACUCAUAGGUACAAGGCCUCAGCC